GCCACCAAGGUCCACAUGGUUGGGACACCCGCCUGGUACGCGGGAGGGCAGGGUUCGAUUCCCUGUGGUGGCU
rnacentral:tRNA from 2 species